GUCCCCAUCCAUGGUGGGAGUGGAGCACCUCCCCCCACUCCCCCCAAAACGUCUAGGCAUGGCUGCUUGGCAGGGGACCACGUCUUCCAGCUAACACUUCAAUACUACCUGAAGUUUAUACAAGGCCCCCACAGCUACACUGUCCUGGUCCCUCCAGUAAUGGAUGGAAAAUCAGCGAUUUCCUGACAGUUAGCAACCAAUUUUCCACCAAUUAGAAGAGAGAUGGUGGUCUCUGGAGGCAGCUGGAUGGCGGCGUUGCACGGAACUGGAAGGAAGAGAGAUGAUCCUCGAAGCACCAGGGUCCUGAAACAGAACUGCUCCAUAAGGGCCACAGGCCUUCAGCAUCCACCACCGCCCGAGUGUGGGGGAGGACUCCGUGGCAGGAACAGCAAGCUCUGUACAUGGUGGGCGCAUGGGACACACGGCUCGCCUCUGUUCCCGGGCCACAGCUCAGGGACAAAAGGAGAACCCAGCCACCCUGAGGCUGCUUUCCAGAAGUUCCUGUGGGAGGAGGCAGGUGUUACAGUCCAGAGCUGCUGAUCUGGCAACUCAAAGGGUCCCUGGAUGUCAAGCUCUGGAAUUGAGAGGGAGCUUUCUCGUCUCCAUACUGGGAGUGACUCCAGAUGCUGCUUCUGACCCGCGGACUCAGAUCUGGACAGGAAAUUCCAAGGGUUUUGAGAGCUGUGGAUGAAGACCAAAAUUGCAAGAGGAAUAUCUUUUGGCCAUCUGAAGGACCGGAUACAGACUUCCUACAGAUCACAAUAUCGCGUUCCCCGUUCCCCAACACUACGCAUUGCUGAGGCCUCCCCUCCCGGUCUCUCCUAUCUGCCGUGCCCUGAUCCUCCAGCACCCGGACCUGGAGGCCCCAUCCCAUCCUCCUCCGGGCUCCUGCGGUGGUUUAUCACUGUCCCUUGGGAUGGUUCCUGAAUUCAGCUGGAGCUCCCCAAGGAGAGGGGUCAAUUUUGAGUCAGUCCUGUGCCUCUCACGGCGAAAGAGACUUGUCUCCCUUCCCAGUUCCUAUUUUCCAGGGCCUAUAUUUUUUAUGAUUUCUUCUCCUACGCCACCGCCCCCUUGCCUGCUGCUAGGCCUUAUGACGCCUGUGUGUGCCUUAGAAAAAAAUGCUGCUUCUUCUAGCAAGACGCAGCUGCACGCCAAGAUGCCUGUCUUGUGAGCGGAGGACGAGCUGGAUCUUGGCUCCAGCUUGCCCCUUGGCCAGGCACCAUGGUCCACAGCACACCCAUAAUGUCCUGUGCAUCGUUCCCAACCCCCACCAAGAUGCGGGUGGGUGUGUUCAGGAGAAAUACCUUCAGCUCAGUCACACUAGCAUCAAAAGCUCACGGGCGGACCCUCCGCCAGCGGACUGCUUCCCCUAAAAAGAAAUGAGAGUGGGAAAACUGACACAGUCAUGGGAAUUGGGGCUGUUCUGCAGGUAGAAGGCACAUGAGUCAGGGACUUUCCAGUCCUAGCGGUCACUUCAGUGAUGCUGGUCAUGGACAGGGCUGGGCUGGUCUCCCUUCCCGACCUCUGCACAUCUGCACACAGAAGGGCACACACACACACACACACCCGUGCUCACUGCUGUAAUCAUUCACGGAAAUGGGCUCCAGGAGAUGAGCCUCAGGCAAGCUCGCCUGCCAGAGAGAGUGUGGUCUUCAACCAAUACUCAAGGGUGACAGAAGUCCCACUGGACCCUACCGUGGUCAGAGGCACCAGGGAUUCCCUCUGGGACAUUCGUUGCUCAGACCAAGGCAGCGUAUUCAUGCCAUGAUGAAAAGCCUGGGUCUGGGAGAAAGCAGCUUGGAGAAGAGCAGGCUCUGGGUAGACCUGGAUGUCCCCACCUUACCCAAGCUCUCUGGGCUCUCAUGGGAUGAGGGAGCAGAUACACUCUGGGGGCCCAGAUAGAACUAGGACCACCUGGGGUCAGACCUGCGUUCAGCAUGAACUUCCCUGGGCACCUGGGAGCCUCAGUUGGUUAAGAGUUGACCUCGGCUCAGGUCAUGAUCCGAGGGUCCUGGGAUCGAGUCCGGCAUUGGGCUCCCUGCUCAGUGGGCCGUCCUCUU